GGCCUGAUGGUCUAGGAGUAUGAUUCGUUGUUAGGGUUUCGUCCAUAUUGACCAUAACUAUCGACGAGGUCCCGGGUUCAAUUCCCGGUCAGGCCC